rnacentral:rRNA from 1 species
CAAUAGCGUAUAUUUAAGUUGUUGCAGUUAAAAAGCUCGUAGUUGGAUUUCGGGUGGGUACCGCCGGUCUCCCAUUGGGUAUGUACUGGCGUGGCCCGCCUUGCUGUCGGGGACGGUCUCCUGGGCUUAAUUGCUCGGGAAUCGGAGUCGACGAUGUUACUUUGAGUAAAUUAGAGUGUUCAAAGCAAGCCUACGCUCUGAAUAUAAUAGCAUGGGAUAACACGACAGGACUCUGGCCUAUCGUGUUGGUCUGUAGGACCGGAGUAAUGAUUAAGAGGGACAGUCGGGGGCAUUCGUAUUCCGUUGUCAGAGGUGAAAUUCUUGGAUUUACGGAAGACGAACAUCUGCGAAAGCAUUUGCCAAGGAUGUUUUCAUUAA